UGAGGAAUAUUGGUCAAUGGGGGCAACCCUGAACCAGCCAAGUCGCGUGAAGGAUGAAGGUCUUAUGGAUUGUAAACUUCUUUUACACGGGAAUAAAGUGGGGGACGUGUCCCCCUUUGCAUGUACCGUGUGAAUAAGGAUCGGCUAACUCCGUGCCAGCAGCCGCGGUAAUACGGAGGAUCCGAGCGUUAUCCGGAUUUAUGGGGUUGAAAGGGUGCGCAGGCGGGAUGUUAAGUCGGCGGUGAAAUUUUGCAGCUCAACUGUAAAAGUGCCUUCGAUACUGGCCUCCUUGAGUGUGGAUGAAGUAGGCGGAAUUUGUGGUGUAGCGGUGAAAUGCCUAGAUAUCACGAGGAACUCCGAUUUCGCAGGCAGCUUACUAAGCCACAACUGACGCUCAUGCACGAAGGCGUGG
rnacentral:rRNA from 1 species